GCUAUAAAAAACAUAGAUUCACUCUGGAUCAAAAAUUUCGGAGUCCCGCGAUUCUCACGGUGAAGCUCGAUCGAGGUUUUCCCUGAAACAGAGGGACGGAGAUGCUCGCAUCUGAGAAAAUUGCCUAAAACCAAGUUGAUUGAAGGUUGUAAACUUCAUAUCUAGGGUUUACCCUCUUUCCAAAUUAGACGAUCGACUCUGAGAUUUGAAUCUGCAAAAUCGAAGCUUGAUUUAAGCAACAAUCUCGAAGACAUGCAAUUGGGUUUAACAAGUUCAUCACCAUCAAGCCUUGGAUUUCCUCAAAUUAAGUGCACCAUUUUUGUUCUAACUGAGGUCUGAGAGUAACUGCACCAAAACCCGGGUGCCUUAAGUUUCACAUUUGGUCCUUCACAUACCAGGUGGGGAAAAAAAUCUCAGACCUUAUUCGAGCUUCAGGCAACCAGACGUCUGGUUCAGAGCAGGGCAGGUAGCAAACAGAACUUACCCAAGUAGCAAUAGAUUUGAUUGAGUUUUGAUGUGAUAGAACCAACAGGAGAUUCUAAUAGUAGGUCACAGGACAUUGCUUCAUGGCCUAGUGCCGUUUCUCAUUACAUGUUGGAGGGUAUAUUGAAGCAGUACAAGAGUGGUAAGAGUGGAGAUAAUGGAUUGAAAAAAGAGCAGUUUAUUGAAAUUGCCAACCAACUGAAAGAGAAAUUAUUUACUAGUUACGACUGUGAACAAGUGAGAAACCACUUCCGGAUUUGGAAGCAAAAGCUUAGAGCAUUGAGUGACCUACAUAAGCAAAGUGGAUUGGGUUGGAAUGCAUCUGAUAUGAGAUUUGAUGCUCCUCAACACUUCUGGAAUGAUUAUAGGAAAAAAGAACAAAAGUAUUGGAAGGAACAUAGUGUGCUCCCAAUUCACCUUGAAGUUGGAGCUUUGCUAAGGAAAGAGAUGGCAACUGGGAAUGAUUCAACAGUCCCCUCUGAAGCUGCCACUGAAGUUAUGAUGGACAUGACAGGUACUCAGGUUAAAGGAAUAUGGAACAACGAUGGUGUUGACUAUGAACCUAUUGAAGAAGAAGAAAGUGUUCCUUCCACUCCCAUUGGUAGUACCAGCCGUUCUCGAGGAAGACCUCGUGGCUCCGUCAAUAGUGGUAGAGAAAAGAGGAAGAAGGGUGCAGCUAAAAAAGGUGGUAAGUCCAUUGAAAUCGAUUGCUAACUCAAUCGAGAAGAUGGUAAUGAGUGAAUCUCAGUCUGAAUUUGGGAGAAUAAUUAUAGAUGUUGUUGAUGCUAUUCCAGACCUCAAUUUUCAACAAAAGUUUAAGGCCAAGGAAUAUUUCAUGGCCAAGAAGAAUUCUGCCAUUAUCUUCUUGGAAACAAGAGUAGAAGAUAGACGAAAUCUGCUUGAGAUGUACUUGCCAGAGAUUGAGAAGAAUUGAGGUGACAAAAGGAAGUGUUUGGACAUUCUACGACAAUGGUUUUAUUGAAUAGAAAAUGCAUCUGUUUGGUUGAUGUAACUUGAUGUUAUGUUAAGUCUGUGACAAUGGUGGCAUAUAGUCGUAAGAAAUAUUAAGACAAUGGUUCUUU